rnacentral:rRNA from 1 species
AGAUUGAACGCUGGCGGCAGGCCUAACACAUGCAAGUCGAGCGGUAGAGAGGUGCUUGCAUCUCUUGGGAGCGGCGGACGGGUGAGUAAUGCCUAGGAAUCUGCCUAGUGGUGGGGGAUAACGUUCGGAAACGGACGCUAAUACCGCAUACGUCCUACGGGAGAAAGGCGGGGGACCUUCGGGCCUCGCGCCAUUAGAUGAGCCUAGGUCGGAUUAGCUAGUUGGUGAGGUAAUGGCUCACCAAGGCGACGAUCCGGUAACUGGUACUGAGAGGAUGAUCAGUCACACGUAGGAACUGGACGACACGGUCCAGACCUCCGUACGGGAGCGAGCGAGUAGGGGAAUAGUUAGGACGAAGUUGGGCGAAAGCCG